rnacentral:rRNA from 1 species
CCUGGCUCAGAUUGAACGCUGGCGGCAUGCCUUACACAUGCAAGUCGAACGGCAGCACGGGAGCAAUCCUGGUGGCGAGUGGCGAACGGGUGAGUAAUAUAUCGGAACGUGCCCAGUCGUGGGGGAUAACGUAGCGAAAGCUACGCUAAUACCGCAUACGAUCUAUGGAUGAAAGCGGGGGAUCGCAAGACCUCGCGCGAUUGGAGCGGCCGAUAUCAGAUUAGGUAGUUGGUGGGGUAAAAGCCUACCAAGCCUUCGAUCUGUAGCUGGUCUGAGAGGACGACCAGCCACACUGGAACUGAGACACGGUCCAGACUCCUACGGGAGGCAGCAGUGGGGAAUUUUGGACAAUGGGCGCAAGCCUGAUCCAGCAAUGCCGCGUGCAGGAUGAAGGCCUUCGGGUUGUAAACUGCUUUUGUACGGAACGAAACGGUUCUUUCUAAUACAGAGAGCUAAUGACGGUACCGUAAGAAUAAGCACCGGCUAACUACGUG